AUUGAACGCUGGCGGCAGGCCUAACACAUGCAAGUCGAACGAGUGGCGGACGGGUGAGUAAUGUCUGGGAAACUGCCUGAUGGAGGGGGAUAACUACUGGAAACGGUAGCUAAUACCGCAUACCAUCGGAUUUGCCCAGAUGGGAUUAGCUAGUAGGUGGGGUAAAGGCUCACCUAGGCAACGAGCCCUAGCUGGUCUGAGAGGAUGACCAGCCACACUGGAACGGCGCCACGGUCCAGACUCCUACGGAAGGCACCAGUGGGAAAUAUUGGACACUGGGCGCAAGCCUGCUGCACCCCUGCCGCUUGUAUGAAGCGGUCCUUCGGGUUGUAAAGUCCUUUCAGCGGGGCGGCGUUACCCGCAGAAGAAGCAACGGCUAACUACGUGCCAGCCGCCGCGGUAAUAC
rnacentral:rRNA from 1 species